rnacentral:lncRNA from 1 species
CAUCGGCUGUGCCUUGGCCAGAAUAGUUGAGUAAGUGUUGAGCUCGAACACAUACAACUGCUGUCUAAUAUCAGGACAAAGGCCCUACUCGAACUUCCUUGCCUUUCUGCCUUCAUCCAUUAUGCUCUCAGGGGAGUAUCGGCCCAACUCUAAGAAUUAUCAGGUAUAAUCUGACACAGUCAUAUCACUCUAGACUAGAUGUGCAAACCUCAUUUUCUUAAGAUGUCGGAGGUGCUCUAGGAGUUACUCUACAUUGAAGACCAUCAGGAACUGUUCCCAAGUGAUUGGAAUGGGUAGGUGGGCCUGCUUGAACUACCACUAACAACCUGCCUCUCCCACCAGCAUGUAGGUGGCAAGUAUAACUCUCUGUUCGAGGACUAUCCUAAGAGUCGUGAAAGCAUUCUUUGUCUUAGCUAACCAGUACUCAGCCUCUUCAAAGGAGAAUGCCCCUGCAAAAAUAGAUGAGUUUAGUCUUUUAUACCUCUCAAUAUGAUAUGGGUCCAUCAUUGGUGGAACUGGGUCCUGUGGAAGAGGGACUGGAUUAUACUAGGGAGGGACUAGAUGACCCUAUGGUAGUACUGGAUGAUACAAUGGGGAUACUGAAUUGUACUGUGGUGGUGCCGAAUGGUACUGUGGAGGAGCAGGGUUGUACCAGAGUGGCUCAAGAUCCUCCUGCUAUAGGGGUGGCUCAAACUGUGGUAGGAGAGGGUUAGGUAGCUCCCUCCUUUCCUUUCAGGCCUGUUGGGCAACGAUGAGUCUCUCCAGCAUUUCAAAUAGUCGAUCAACAUACUCUUAAAGUGAAC